rnacentral:rRNA from 1 species
UACGAAGGGGGCUAGCGUUGCUCGGAAUCACUGGGCGUAAAUGGUGCGUAGGCGGGUCUUUAAGUCAGGGGGGAAAUCCUGGAGCUCAACUCCAGAACUGCCUUUGAUACUGAGGAUCUUGAGUUCGGGAGAGGUGAGUGGAACUGCGAGUGUAGAGGUGAAAUUCGUAGAUAUUCGCAAGAACACCAGUGGCGAAGGCGGCUCACUGGCCCGAUACUGACGCUGAGGCACGAAAGCGUGGGGAGCAAACAGG